rnacentral:rRNA from 1 species
AUGCUCCUGGCCUCCUCGGUGCUGCGGGGUCGCCUCCGCCCCCUCCGCCGGCCCCGGCCCCUGAUCAUGCCCUCCCCUCUCUUCCUCUCCCGAAACCCUAGCCCCAGCACCAGCAGCAGCGCGAGCCCCCAACUCCCCUCGCCUUCCGCCAUGAGCACCAGCGGCGUCUACGUGCCGCCGAUGCGCCGGCUCCGCUCCGUCAUCGCGUCCACCAACGGGAACCUCGCGCCGCCGCCCGCUGUGCAGCCCGCGUGGACGCCCGAGUGGCGGGCCGACGGGCGCUCCCUCAGCCCGCCGUCGCCGCCUCAGCCGCAGCGCCGCACGGCUGCCCUCCCACCCCGGCCGCCGCCGCCCCAGACGCAGCCCUUGCGCCAGCAGACCGCUGGGUAUUCUCGGUACGCCUAUGACGACUUCUCCGAGGAGGAGUCGGACCGGGAAAUGGACCGCACGUCAGUUUCUAGCAAGGGGGGUGCAUCUACUUUAGAGAAUGUUGACGAAUGGAAAUGGAAACUGCACAUGCUUCUCCGUAACGACAAUGAACAAGAGAUUAUGUCGAGGGAGAAAAAGGACAGGCGUGAUUUUGAUCAACUUGCCCAACUGGCAGAUCGAAUGGGUUUGCACAGCCGUCAGUAUUCCCGAAUCAUCGUGUUUAGUAAGGUCCCCUUGCCUAAUUAUAGAUCAGACCUUGAUGACAAAAGACCUCAAAGAGAGGUAUCUAUACCUUCUGGCUUGCAAAGAGAAGUUGAUGCAUUGCUUGCAGACUAUCUUGCGCGGAAGAGAACAGACAGUGGGAACUUUCCUAAUGCUGCCUUCUCAAGGUCAAGCAGCACGGACAGUUUUGCGACUGAUGAAAGCUUCUAUGAGCAGCAGGAUAAUCAGACAUCAACCAAUGUUGUGAUGGAAAGAAUCCAAAGAAGGAAAAGCUUACAGUUGCGUAACCAGCAAGCUGCUUGGCAGGAAUCAAAUGAUGGUCAGAGCAUGAUGGAGUUUCGUCGAAGUCUUCCUGCCCAGAAAGAAAGGCAAUCACUAUUGGAAGCUAUAUCUCAGAAUCAGGUGGUUGUAGUUUCAGGUGAAACUGGCUGUGGUAAGACAACACAGUUGCCACAAUACAUUUUGGAAUCUGAAAUAGAAGCCGCUCGUGGUGCUACUUGCAGUAUCAUUUGCACUCAACCAAGACGAAUAUCAGCUAUUUCUGUUUCUGAAAGAGUUGCUGCUGAAAGAGGUGAAAAAAUUGGGGAAUCGGUUGGCUACAAAGUUCGGUUGGAAGGAAUGAGAGGAAGGGAUACACGCCUUCUGUUCUGCACUACUGGGGUCCUGUUGCGAAGAUUGCUGGUGGACAGAAGCUUGAAAGGUGUCACCCAUGUUAUUGUGGAUGAAAUUCAUGAACGGGGCAUGAAUGAAGAUUUUCUCCUUAUUGUCCUAAAGGACCUUCUUCCUCGCCGACCGGAGCUAAGGCUUGUAUUGAUGAGUGCGACCCUCAAUGCUGAGAUGUUCUCUUCAUACUUUGGUGGAGCACCCAUGAUACAUAUACCUGGUUUUACAUACCCUGUCCGGAGUCGUUUCCUAGAAGAUAUUCUUGAAGUUACUGGCCACAGAUUGACUCCGUACAAUCAGAUUGAUGACUAUGGCCAAGAGAAAAGUUGGAAGAUGCAAAAGCAAGGUCUACGGAAGAGAAAGAGCCAAAUUGCUUCUGUUGUGGAAGAUGCAGUUAAAGCUGCGGAUCUAAGGGAUUAUAGUCCGCAAACUCGUGACUCUCUAUCCUGCUGGAAUCCUGAUUCAAUUGGUUUUAACUUGAUAGAAAAUGUCUUGUGCCAUAUUUGUCAAAAGGAAAGAGAUGGUGCUGUGCUUGUAUUUAUGACUGGGUGGGAUGACAUUAAUACGCUAAAAGAUCAGCUACAAUCCAACCCAUUGCUUGGCGACCCUAGUAAAGUUUUGCUGCUUGCAUGUCAUGGUUCAAUGGCUAGCUCAGAGCAGAAACUAAUAUUUGACAAACCUGAGCCUGGUGUAAGGAAAAUAGUUCUUGCCACCAAUUUGGCUGAAACUAGUAUUACUAUCAAUGACGUAGUUUUUGUUGUUGAUUGUGGAAAAGCAAAAGAGACAUCUUAUGAUGCACUGAACAAUACUCCCUGUCUGCUUCCGACCUGGAUCUCCAAGGCUUCUGCUAGACAAAGACGAGGAAGAGCUGGCCGUGUUCAAUCAGGGGAAUGUUUCCAUCUCUAUCCACAGUGUGUAUAUAAUGUGUUCGCCGACUACCAGUUGCCGGAACUUUUGAGAACUCCUCUCCAAUCCCUUUGUUUGCAAAUAAAAAGUUUGCGGCUUGGGAGCAUCUCAGAAUUUUUAUCCAGAGCUUUGCAGUCACCUGAGUCUCUAUCGGUACAAAAUGCCAUCGAAUAUCUCAAAGUCAUUGGAGCAUUCGAUCAGAAUGAAGAGUUAACAGUUCUAGGAAAACACCUGUCUAUGCUUCCAGUUGAGCCUAAAUUAGGCAAGAUGCUUAUUUUUGGGGCUAUAUUUAAUUGCCUUGAUCCCAUAUUAACCAUUGUUGCUGGACUUAGCGUAAGAGAUCCAUUCAUGACACCAUUUGACAAGAAGGAUCUUGCAGAGUCUGCUAAGUUGCAGUUCUCAUGCCGUGACUAUAGUGACCACCUUGCGAUUGUUCGUGCUUAUGAUGGAUGGAGAGAUGCUGAAAGAGAUCGCAAUGGCUAUGACUACUGCUGGAGAAAUUUUCUGUCAGCGCAAACCUUGAAAGCCCUAGAUUCUCUCCGGAGGCAGUUCCUCUUUCUUUUAAAGGACACUGGCUUGAUUGAUGAAAACAUGACUAUGUGCAAUAAAUGGAGUCGCGAUGAAAAUCUUGUUCGGGCAAUCAUUUGUGCGGGUUUAUACCCAGGUGUUUCGUCUGUUGUGAACAAGGAGAAAUCAGUUUCUCUCAAGACAAUGGAGGAUGGGCAGGUUAUGCUUUACUCGAGCUCAGUGAAUGGGAAAGAAGCCAAGAUUCCAUUCCCCUGGCUAGUGUUCAAUGAGAAAGUGAAGGUGAAUUCAGUGUUUCUCCGGGAUUCAACAGCGAUAUCUGAUUCUAUAUUGCUGCUCUUUGGAGGAAACAUACAACAAGGAGGCUUGGACGGACACUUGAAAAUGCUCGGGGGAUAUCUGGAGUUCUUCAUGAGUCGCGAUCUUGCAUCGACUUACUUGAAUCUCAAGGGUGAACUUGAAAAUUUAAUCCACUGCAAGCUUCAAAACCCAAGGAUUGACAUCCAAACCAGCGAGGAGCUGCUGUCAGCCGUACGGCUGCUGGUCACGGAGGACCCAUGCAGCGGUCGGUUCGUCUACGGCCGUCAAGAACCAAGAUCAAAGAAAGCAAAGACGAUGAUCUCUUCCGCCUCGGUGGCCUCCAUGGACCGCGGAGGCGGAGGCGGGCACGGAGGGGACAACCCCAAGAACCAGCUGCAGACCCUCCUGACAAGGGCGGGGCACGACAACCCGUCCUACAAGACGAAGCAGAUCAAGAACACCCUCUUCAGGUCGACCGUGGAGUUCAACGGCAUGCAGUUUGUGGGGCAGCCGUGCGCCAACAAGAAGCUGGCGGAGAAGGACGCGGCGGGGGAGGCGAUCAGCUGGCUGACGGGCGGGGAGGCUCCUCCGGUGACGGCCAACGCGAGAGACCGGCAGGACGCCGACCACAUGUCCAUGCUGACGAAGCCGGCUCCACGCAGGAGGCGGCACCACCAUAGGAGGAGCUGA